rnacentral:rRNA from 1 species
GAUGAACGCUGGCGGCGUGCCUAAUACAUGCAAGUCGAGCGAACGGACGAGAAGCUUGCUUCUCUGAUGUUAGCGGCGGACGGGUGAGUAACACGUGGAUAACCUACCUAUAAGACUGGGAUAACUUCGGGAAACCGGAGCUAAUACCGGAUAAUAUUUUGAACCGCAUGGUUCAAAAGUGAAAGACGGUCUUGCUGUCACUUAUAGAUGGAUCCGCGCUGCAUUAGCUAGUUGGUAAGGUAACGGCUUACCAAGGCAACGAUGCAUAGCCGACCUGAGAGGGUGAUCGGCCACACGGGAACUGAGACGCGGUCCAGACUCCUACGGGAGGCAGCAGUAGGGAAUCUUCCGCAAUGGGCGAAAGCCUGACGGAGCAACGCCGCGUGAGUGAUGAAGGUCUUCGGAUCGUAAAACUCUGUUAUUAGGGAAGAACAUAUGUGUAAGUAACUGUGCACAUCUUGACGGUACCUAAUCAGAAAGCCACGGCUAACUACGUG